rnacentral:lncRNA from 1 species
AAAGACCACACAUAAAUUGAAAACUUAAACUCAUCCCUAUCUUUGUUCCUUUAACAUUACGAAAUAGACGCUAGAUCAUAGAUAUUGAGGGUUUAGGUAGAUACAUCAUGGUGGUUUAGAAAAAAGAGCAGAAAAGGAAGAAAUAAUGUGAUACAAUCAAUGACUAUAGGUCGAGAAAAAAUGUGUGAAAAAGAAAUCCAAAAAAAUUCAAAAGGAAAAAAAUGAGAAGAAAUAGUAUCAAACAAAAACAAAAGCAUUGUGAAUGAGAAAAAAAGUAAAAAGUCAAAGUGACAAAACAAAAAGUCACACAAGUGAGAGAAAACUCGGUCAUCAGUAC